UUCAAUAAAACCUCGUAAUUGAAUCGAAUUCUUCCUCUACCUAUCUACACUACAAGGAUCAAAAUAAAUUUUAGUAAAUUUUUGGUGAUUUUAUUCUUUAUAUUCGCUGAACGGAACAAAUAGAAUAGAACAAAUUCCUGUUUGGUUAUAUUUUAAAAAUGGCAUGUUACAUUGUAUAUAUUUGUAUUCAUAGGAGUGUUCGAGAUAAGGUCAAUAUUUUCUUUCGAUUUACGGCACGCACCACUCCAUGACUAAUGUCAUUGAAAUUAAGAAAAGCAGAAGAAAUUUAUUCUACUGAAUACCCUGCAGGGUAUUUAAUAGACUUUACGAUCAACAUUCAAGCCGAUCAACUGAAAUUGAUAGUUUUCUCCUUAAUUGUAUAUUCAGAAGUUGAAUUUGGAUCUCCAUUGAAAUUUAAGCAUUUUGAGGGUAUACCAACGUAUAUAAAAUGAGAGUAAAUAAUAAGAGUUGAACAGAAUUAUAAAACAACUAUAAAUAUACAUUGUUAUGAUAAAAUAAUUUUCAAAAACAGAUAAUUUUAAUAAAAAACAAAAUAAACUUGAUAAUCAAUUUAUGGAAAAAACUACAUAAUUAAAAUACUUGAAACAGACGUUUAGAAUUUUGUGAGGCAUUGCGAUGGAAAAUUUUAUAAAAAGUGUGGUAUCUUUAGACAAAGCAACGUUUUGUUUAAAUGGUGCAGUAAAUCUACAGAACUACACAAUUGUUACUCGGCUCGAGACAGCUCCACUGGAGUGAGAAAUAAAAACGCCCAGAUCCCUAAAAAGAUUAAUGUUUGGGUAGGAAUCGUCAGGAGAAGUUUUAAAGAUUUUUAUUUCUUUCGCGAGAAAUUUAACAAUUGAUCUAUAUGCGAAACUUCUUCGUAUAACGGUUCUUCCGGAACUAACUGCACUUCCGAAUCUAAAUAAUAUGGAAAACAGAUACCAGUUUUUGGUUCUAGCAAAUGGUGUACCUUCACAUGAUGGUCCUAAUAUUCGAAGGUUUCUGGAAAACCAGUUGAAGGAAGAUGGUACUCGGAUCAAUAAAGUGGUUCAGGUUAAUUUGCUUCCUCAUCCAUCGUAUAGACCAGAUUUGGCCACACAGCACGAAAUCGAGAAGUUGGAGAAGCGUUGGAAUGAUUGUAUUGCUCUUGAAGGAAAUUACAUGGAUAUGAAGUUAAGUGAAUUAAAAAACUCUGUAUCUCAAGUCCACCAUCGUCUUACCCUAUGCUAGAUAGUGAACAGGUCAUAUGUUGAACAAUUUCUAUAAGAAAUAGUUUUGGUUUAAUAGACUGUUUAGUUGAUUUGAAAGUUUUAAUUGACAAGUAAUUGUGUAUUGUAAAAUAUUGAGCCCUUAACUAAUUCUGAGCGUGAAGUAGGUAGGUGAAGGUCGUGCUCCACGUUCCUAAGUGGAUAGCCAUGCAACGUCCUUUCUGAAA